rnacentral:rRNA from 1 species
UACGAAGGGGGCGAGCGUUGUUCGGAAUCACUGGGCGUAAAGGGCUCGUAGGCGGCCAACUAAGUCAGACGUGAAAUCCCCAGGCUCAACCUGGGAACUGCGUCUGAUACUGGAUGGCUUGAAUCCGGGAGAGGGAUGCAGAAUUCCAGGUGUAGCGGUGAAAUGCGUAGAUAUCUGGAGGAAUACCGGUGGCGAAGGCGGCAUCCUGGACCGGCAUUGACGCUGAGGAGCGAAAGCUAGGGGAGCAAACGGG